ACAGCAGCAGCCGCGGUAAUACGGAGGGUGCAAGCGUUAAUCGGAAUUACUGGGCGUAAAGCGCACGCAGGCGGUCUGUCAAGUCGGAUGUGAAAUCCCCGGGCUCAACCUGGGAACUGCAUUCGAAACUGGCAGGCUAGAGUCUUGUAGAGGGGGGUAGAAUUCCAGGUGUAGCGGUGAAAUGCGUAGAGAUCUGGAGGAAUACCGGUGGCGAAGGCGGCCCCCUGGACAAAGACUGACGCUCAGGUGCGAAAGCGUGGGGAGCAAACAGGAUUAGAUACCCCUGUAGUCCCUGUCUCUUAUAU
rnacentral:rRNA from 1 species